rnacentral:rRNA from 1 species
GACGAACGCUGGCGGCGUGCUUAACACAUGCAAGUCGAACGGAAAGGCCCUGCUUUUGUGGGGUGCUCGAGUGGCGAACGGGUGAGUAACACGUGAGUAACCUGCCCUUGACUUUGGGAUAACUUCAGGAAACUGGGGCUAAUACCGGAUAGGAGCUCCUGCUGCAUGGUGGGGGUUGGAAAGUUUCGGCGGUUGGGGAUGGACUCGCGGCUUAUCAGCUUGUUGGUGGGGUAGUGGCUUACCAAGGCUUUGACGGGUAGCCGGCCUGAGAGGGUGACCGGAAAAAUGGGGACUGAGAUACGGACCAGACGCCUACGGGAGGCAGCAGUGGGGAAUAUUGCAAAAUGGGAGGAAGCCUGAUGCAGCAACGCCGCGUGCGGGAUGACGGCCUUCGGGUUGUAAACAGAUUUCGCCUGUGACGAAGAGUGAGUGACGGUAAUGGGUAAAGAAGCACCGGCUAACUACAUG